CAUUUAACAGUGAAAUGACGGUUUUGCCCUCUCUCUUUUCUUCAGUUGCAUCCCUGCCGUUCAAUCUGGGUUAAAAUGUCUAGAUAUUUUCUCUCGCUCUCGCUCUCUGCCCCGACAGCUGUACGUCUUAUGAGAAACAAUCUCGAGAGGGUUCAAGAACGAUCCAGAGAGUUGGGGUCUCUCUCUUUGAUCUGUGCGUGACCUACCUAACAUAACAAUCCAAAGAGAUCAAUUAUCAAGAACGAUUGAGAGAGAGAGAGAGAGAGAGAGAGAGAAAUAGGGUGUGUUUCUGUGAUGGAGAUCUUGAAAUUCACUGCUCCAAGGAGGGCUGAUGAGAGAGAAAAUGAAGGGUGGUGAUGUUGCUGAGCCCUUAAGCUCUUUAAAUCACUGGGUAAUUGAGGUUAGUCGAAGACAGACAAAGCACAACAUUUUUGGACAUCACGAUCUUCUUCAUUAUCAAAGGGAUUUCAAUAAACAAGAACAGUAGGUGGCAGUACUGCUUUGGACUCUAAUUUUGGAUUGUUGUUUUUUGUUUCCUUUGAUGCAGUUGUCCUUCUCUUGAGGAACAACGUUGACAAAAGGGAGGCAUUAGAUAACCUGGAUAUCAUACUUUUUCCUUUAUUUGAAGGCUUGAGAAAAGAGUGAACGAGGUCGAGCAGUAUUACUUGAGGAAAGGCAGUCUGCAACCAACCACUUCGAAGGAGAAAGACAGAGAUAAACAUUUUAAUACAAUUAAGAAGCAGCAGCAAGAUGCAUCACGUAGGGAAGCCGCUGCUGCAAAGAGGAUGCGAGAUCUGUUAAGUUUUCCGCAAUCUUCAAACAGGAAAUUGAAGCAAAUGAGAAGCAUUGAUAUCAACUCCAACUUGAGGAGGCUAUUAGUAACAUAGGUGCAUUUUCUCCCCCAGUAUUUGGUGGUUGUUACUUUGCAUUUCUUUUCCUUCUUGUACUCAUCAAUUGUUCUAUAGCUGGACCAGAACUUUCUGUUUUUGUCAAACUAUCAGUCUAUUGCGUGUAAAAUUCAUGAAAAAAGAACCAAACCCUUCCGCAGCAACGCGCGGACACUUUUUCUAGUACUAUAAUCUAAAGCCGAAUGACCUUGACUGUUCAUCCCUGUUCAUUAAACUGUUCCUAAGGGUGCGAAAUGACGGUAUUGCCCUCUAUUUUUUUCUGAAUUACCAUGCUGCCAUUUCCCCACAAUAUAUAAGCAAAAUCCUAAUUCUUUGUGUCUUCGGGAAGACUAUCAAGAUCGACAUUCACUGUUUCGCAGCAUCAAUCCGGAUUUGUUGCAGCAGAGGUAGAGAGAGAGAGAGAGAGAGAGAGAGACUGUGAGAGGAAAGAAGAAGUGAUCGAUCUGGAUUUAUUGCAGAAGAGAGAGAGAGGUAUCUGUGUCUGGAAUAGUUGCAGGUUGUAUGCCAAAGGCAAUUUCAAGCUUAUCCAUCACAAUCAGUCUCAGCAAAAGCUUGCUCCGAAGUUCAAGCUCUGUUACUAAUCUGAAUCUUGCUGAACCCUAAAGGCUCUCAUGCAUGUUAUUGGAACCUCAUCUCAGGUAUGACAAAUCUGCAACUUAUUGAUCACGGACACCAAAUAAGGGAUGAGACUGAUCAAGCCAUUGAUAGAGCACAAAGGUUCUUCAUCAGACUAUCAUCUGGGGACUAUGACAAUGCUUUUGGGGUUCUCUGCAGUAUAUGCAGGUUUUGAGGGUUCUCUGCAAUGUUGUUGCAAUUGCAUAACUUACUAUUCUUGAGCUGAACAUCACUCAAAAUUUCCACUCAUUCUCAAUGUCUAUAUAUAGUGAAUUGGGAUUUGUAUGUACAGUCCAUGGAUCUGCAGAUGAGUUUACUUCAGUUGAAGAUGCAUUUGAGUCUGCCAAUGAAUUAGAUCAGUGCUAAACCCCCAUUGUAGAAACUUGAUACCAGCUUGGUUAAAAUACCAGGUGUUAGCUGAACCUUUCUCUUUAUGAUUGAAACACCAGUUUUUGUAAUAUCUAAAAUUAUAAAUGUAUUAUGUUAUGUACAUCAAGAUUUGAGGAAA